rnacentral:rRNA from 1 species
GAUGAACGCUGGCGGCGUGCUUACACAUGCAAGUCGAACGUGAAGCCCGGUACCUAGUAUUGGGUGGAAAGUGGCGGACGGGUGCGUAACACGUUGGUGACCUGCCCCGAGGUGGGGGAUAACCGUGGGAAACCACGGCUAAUACCCCGGAUGCCAAAGUAUUUAGAAAGCUUUGGCUAAAGCUCCGGCGCCUCGGGAGGGGCCUGCGGGCUAUCAGCUUGUUGGUGGGGUAAUGGCCUACCAAGGCAAAGACGGCUAGGGGGCGUGAGAGCGCGACCCCCCACAAUGGAACUGAGACACGGUCCAUACUCCUACGGGAGGCAGCAGUGAGGAAUAUUGCGCAAUGGGGGCAACCCUGACGCAGCAACGCCGCGUGGAUGAUGAAGGCCUUCGGGUUGUAAAAUCCUUUUCCGGGGGAAGAAUCAUGACGGUACCUCGGGAAUAAGUCCCGGCUAACUACGUGCCAGCAGCCGCGGUAAAACGUAGGGGGCGAGCGUUAUCCGGAUUUACUGGGCGUAAAGCGCACGUAGGCGGCGCUGUAAGUUGGGCGUGAAAGCUCCCGGCUCAACUGGGAGAGGUCGUUCAAAACUGCAGUGCUUGAGGUUGGAAGAGGAGAGUGGAAUUCCCGGUGUAGUGGUGGAAUGCGUAGAUAUCGGGAGGAACACCAGUGGCGAAGGCGGCUCUCUGGUCCAACCCUGACGCUGAGGCGCGAAAGCGUGGGGAGCGAACGGGAUUAGAUACCCCGGUAGUCCGCGCUGUAAACGAUGGAUACUAGGUGUGGGAGGUUACUUACCCCUUCCGUGCCGUAGCUAACGUGAUAAGUAUCCCGCCUGGGGACUACGGCCGCCAGGUUAAAACUCAAAGGAAUUGACGGGGGCCC